rnacentral:rRNA from 1 species
UACGGAGGGUCCAAGCGUUGUCCGGAAUUAUUGGGUUUAAAGGGUGCGUAGGCGGUUUUUUAAGUCAGAGGUGAAAUCCUACAGCUCAACUGUAGAACGGCCUUUGAUACUGGAAGACUUGAGUACACUAGAGGCAGGCGGAAUUUAUGAUGUAGCGGUGAAAUGCAUAGAUAUCAUAAAGAACACCGAUAGCGAAGGCAGCUUGCUGGAGUGUAACUGACGCUGAGGCACGAAAGCGUGGGUAGCGAAC